AUAUCCAGACAAAACAUUCAUCCAAAAAGAUAUAUGCACCCCUAUGUUCAUCACAGCACUUUUCACAAUAGCCAAGACAUGGAAACAACCUAAAUGUCCAUCAACAGAUGAAUGGAUUAAGAAGAUGUGGUAUGUAUAUACAAUGUAAUACUAUUCAGCCAUAAAACAGACAAAAUAAUGCCAUUUUGGGCAACAUGGAUGGAACUGGACAUUCUCAUACUAGGUGAAGUAAAUCAGACAGAUAACCCUAUGGUAGCACUUAUAUGUGGAAUCUAAAAUAUAUCACAGAUGAUCCUAUCUACAAAAUGGAAAUAGGCCAUGGGCAUGGAGAGAAGACUUGUGGUUCCCAGCGGGGAGGAGGAAGGGAGUGGGAUGAAUGGGGAGUUUGGGGUUGGUGGAUGCAAACUGUAACAUCUGGAAUGAUGGGCAAGGGGGUUCUACUGCACAGCACAGGGAGCUGUGUGUGAUUGGGUCACUUUGUUGUACAACAGAAAUCAAAGAAACAUCGUAAAUCAAGUAUAAUAAAAAAAGAGAGUGAGAAAAUAAAAGGCUUGUUCCUAAAAUCCAAAUUAGAACAGUAAUUUAACUUCCAUCUUAGAUUCCAUGGACCAUUAUUGUAAUUACUCUCUUACCUAUAUCCUGAACUACCUUGACCUUCUAUGCCUCCAACAUACUCAUAUCACUAAAUUUGUCUUUCUUCCCUGUACCAAACUUAAGGAGCUGAAUACAAAAAAAUAGGAAAAUAUUCAAUCAUGCUGAUUGCUUUUACUUUAAAUUUAUGAACACAAACCUUAAGCAAUUCCUUAGUGCAGCCUGGCAGUCAUAUUCAAUUCCAUUGUCAGUAAACUUUCUCAAAUCUCUAAGGCGACUAUAUAUCACCUUCUUAGUUCUUCUCAAACACCUAGCACAUCUUCCCUCUUCUUUUUCUUGACUAAAGCCCUUGCUUCUUGUUCACUACAUAGUACAAACAGAAAAAAAUUGUCUUUAAUUUCCCCUAUUGUAUCGACCAUACUAUUGUCCUGCAGACCCAUAUAUUCUGCCUUGUCCUUAUCAUAAGUGAAUGACUCCACCUGCUCACUGAAUCUUACCCACUCCUGACCCAAAAUUUCAUGACUACAAUCAUCCUGCAAGUAUUGCUUUCUCAUCUAAAUCAACAAACAAACAUAGUUUAAUAUUUCUCAUUUUUCUAAAAGCUCUCUGUUAGGAAAGAUAGUCAUUUCAGCUUGUCAACUUUUGCAUGGUCAUAUAAGAGCAGCCUUGGGCCUGGAACAUUUCCUUGCAAAGACAUAAAGAACCCUCACAGCCUGUACUGGGCAUACAUCAUUGUUUGGGAAUUUCUUUCCCUGUUCAGGCAUUGAUGUAUGCUUUGCUUUACUUAGGUAUGAAGCACAUGGCACUUGGCCAACCCCACUGCUAUAUUUGUUGCCAGUGGGGACAACUGCAGCACAAUUUAGGGUGUGUAUAGGUACACCAACAUGUUGGCUUUUGAGUGGUUCUGCUGGCCGUGAAGGACAAAUGCAUUGCAAGGGGAUGGAUCUUGUGCAUUCUCUCUAGAUAAACACUGUACCACUGUGACUGGUGUGCAUGUUGUCUGUUCUCAGUGACCUCAAUUCAUGCACUGGUCUCUUCCUUGGGUGGCACUUUUGUUAUAGUCUAUAUAACCUUUUAACCUUGGCUGCACUCAUGUUUUAUUCUAUCUUGUGGUACUGCCUGACCACCCAAUGAACAAUGAAACACCCUCCCAUGGUUCCAGCGUGCAGAGUCAAAAUCUUUAUUGAGAGUAAUCCCUUCAUAAAAUUAAUUGCUCUACAUACAUGCCUCUAUUUCACUUGAGAAGCCACUUUUUAAAAAAAAAAAAGAUCUUAAAAUCAGUUCCUAGAGGAAAUGACAAAAACAGCAAGAACAAAGUGACAUAAUCAAUAUGAUUACACAAUUUGAAUUUAUUCAGUGCUCUAAUGAAUACUAUAAUAAUGAACACCCAAAAGUUCAAAUAUUAAAAGCUUAUUUUAUAUCAGAUACUGUAACAAGCUUUUGACAUAAAUCAUUUUCACUAACUCUCAUAUUAAUUUUAUAAGUAGGACAUUGUGAUUGACCUCAUUUUAUAGAUGAUGAAAAAAAGACACACCGAAUAUCACUUACAUGCCCAAGAUCAUGCAGCUAUUAAGUGGGGGAGCUGAAAUUUGAACCACAGCAAUGCGACUCCAGAGUUUUUGCUCUUUAACCAUUACCCUCUACUGUGAAUGUAUAACAACUUUUCCUUUCAACCUCUCAUUGUUCUUGCUGAGCUUGAAAUUCAAGCAGAUUGAGCUGAGCCAAAUAUAGCUCACCUCUGCUUCCCAAUAAGUUCUUGAUAUCACAAGCUAAAUUAGGAGCUUUUUCCACAAUUAAGAUAUAAGGAAAACUUUAUUAACUACCAACUAAGAUGCCAAUUAAGGACCAUGUGUUUGAAAGCCUAGAGAACACUCAGAAGUGCUGACAGUAGAUGUGAGAGCAAGUAGGUAUUUAACAUUUAGUAGCAUUCUUUCUUUUAUGCUCUGUGUUCAAAACGAAUUCAGUGACAUGGGUUCAAGCAAUAAGAUUCCAUGACUUCCCUACAAAAAAAUUUUGAAAGUAUUGUUUAAUUAAUUCAGAUGCAAAGACAUUAGAGCUGAGUGCAUAGAUUCAAAAUGCCUAAUUUUUAUCACUUUUUAAGAUUACCUGUCAUAAUUAGGACCUCUCUAAGUUUUCUGUGAUUCAGCUUUAUAUUUUCUUGAAUAACUUUAUUGAAACAAAUGCCAACUCAGAUCAUCAAGGAAGUAAUUUGGGGUAAAUAUUCUACUUAAAAACAAAUGUAAGUUACUUGAAAAUUAUGCUUGUAGUACAGUCAGAGAUUGUUGUUUUGGUAAACUAGUUUUAUUUUAUAACAUUUGAGUAUGUAGGAGUUUUAGUUAUCCAUUUGAUAUGUAAAUGAAAAAUUGACCAUUGAUUAGAAAAUGACAUUUUAAUUUAGAUGAAUAUUUAUGCAGUAGCAUAUGGCUCAAAAUGCCUGCCAAAGAAGUCUGUUAACAGAAGCUAAUAACUUGUGAAGCACAUGAAGUUUGUUUAUAAAAGCCCUCUUUUGGGAGUUCCCAUCAUGGCACAGCAGCAAUGAAUCUGACUAGGAACCAUGAGGUUGUGGGUUCGAUCCCUGCCCUUGCUCAGUGGGUUAACGAUCCGGCGUUGCCGUGAGCUGUGGUGUAAGUCGCAGACAUGGCUCGGAUCCUGUGUUGCUGUGGCUGUGGUGUAGGCCAGCAGCUGUAGCUCUGAUAAGACCCCUAGCCUUGGAACCUCCAUAUGCCACAGGUGUGGCCCU
rnacentral:lncRNA from 1 species